AAUAGAUACCCGGGUAGUCCACGCCGUAAACGAUGAGUGCUAAGUGUUAGGGGGUUUCCGCCCCUUAGUGCUGCAGCUAACGCAUUAAGCACUCCGCCUGGGGAGUACGGUCGCAAGACUGAAACUCAAAGGAAUUGACGGGGGCCCGCACAAGCGAUGGAGCAUGUGGUUUAAUUCGAAGCAACGCGAAGAACCUUACCAGGUCUUGACAUCCCACUGACCGCUAUGGAGACAUAGUUUUCCCUUCGGGGACAGUGGUGACAGGUGGUGCAUGGUUGUCGUCAGCUCGUGUCGUGAGAUGUUGGGUUAAGUCCCGCAACGAGCGCAACCCUUGAUCUUAGUUGCCAUCAUUUAGUUGGGCACUCUAAGGUGACUGCCGGUGACAAACCGGAGGAAGGUGGGGAUGACGUCAAAUCAUCAUGCCCCUUAUGACCUGGGCUACACACGUGCUACAAUGGACGGUACAAACGGUUGCCAACCCGCGAGGGGGAGCUAAUCCGAUAAAACCGUUCUCAGUUCGGAUUGUAGGCUGCAACUCGCCUAC
rnacentral:rRNA from 1 species